AUAGAUCUGUAUAGUUUAAUUUUUAUAUAUGGUUGUAGGUGUAUAUAGUUGUAUUUUUACAUGUGAAGUUAUAGUUGUAGAUGUGCCUAGUUGCAUUUAUACAUGUAUAUAGUUACAUUUACAUAUAUAUGGUUAUGUUCAUAAAUAGGUAUAGUUGUAUUUAUAGCUGGGAGUUUAGGUACAUAGCUUAAUAGCUGUAUAGGUACAGACCAUUUCUUAAUCUUUUUCCCCCCCUGAAUGCUGUUUUCACCUCUUGUUUUCCCCCUGUGUCCCCUCUGUCCCCUCUUCCUUUGCUGGUCCGAGCUGGCAACCGGGCCGGUCGGAGCAGCAAUUCCAGCCCCAGGUGUCCCUGGAGCAGUGGGAUCUGCCAGUGGCCCCAGGCACUGUCCCCUGAGGAGCUGCUGAGGGACGCUUCACUGAAGGCCUUGAGGAGAGCAGGAGGAGUGAGAGGAGCCAGCAGGGAGAAGCCGAAGGCCACGAGCAAGAGCAGUGAGCAGGGAGCUGCUGCUGCCCCGGGAGAGCCGGAUAUCCCAUGAGCUGACCCUGUCCAGUAGAGCUGCUCUGCACGGGAGGAAGAGCCAGAGGGAGAGGCUUUCAAGACGGGGCUGUUGGAGUUCUGUUUUCUGCUUAGAGUUCUCGUUGAAGAUACAUGGACUUGGACACAGAGAGCUAUAAUUAUAUGGAUAUUUACAAAUGUGCUUGCUAUUUGUAAAGGACUAUUUCCAUGUGUUUGUUAUAUUUA